CUUCCCCGCCUAAAAACCUCCCAAUCCAAAGAAGUAUUCAACGGCUCCCAAAUCGUAGGGUUUAAAUGUCGCUCUUCUCCAUAAACCCUUUCUCACUACUCACUCCUAAACAUUAAAAAUUGAUUUAAAAACUCUGACAUCGCCGCAGAUUUUGCAUAUCCGCGGAUUUGUGAAUUUUGGUCAUUGAAUGUUAAUCAGGGUUCGGUUCCUAAAGUAAAAUGGGCACCCCACCCAAAGUAUAUGAAGGUUCUCACAUUUGGGUUGAGGAUCCGGAGGUUGUUUGGAUUGAUGGGAAAAUGCUAAAGAUUCUCGCGGACGAAGUUGAAGUCGUAACAUCUGAUGGAAGGACGGUAAAACAUCAUUGUUUUUUAGCUGAUGCUUUUUCCUCUUUUGUAUGGUGUCAAGGACUAUAGUAUAGAUAGCUCAUUGCUUGUCUUCUUUAGAUCCAAUUUGCCAACAAAUAAUUAGUUUGCUCUGGAACAGAGAAGAUAAGUUUCCAUAAUUUAGUGUAAUAAACCUACUUUUCUUCUGAUACACACUGUCAAGGUAAUCAAACUGCAGUCUAGUACGAUCUUCUUCUUCUUCUUGGUUUUUUCAAGGAAAAAUAAAUUAAAGUUAUUACCGAGUCUUGUUAGAUAAAUUAGAAAAAUGAUGAAUAAGGGGACAAGUAGCUCAAUACUGGUAAGCAGAGAAAGUGGUGCUGGUAAGACUGAAACUACUAAGAUGCUUAUGCAAUAUCUUGCUUAUUGGGGUUGCUAUAAAGAAGGUGAAGGAAGAUCAGUAGGAACAUCAAGUUCUUGAGGUAGGUUUUGUCAUCUAAUUUUCUAUUUAAUUACUGAUAAUCUUACUAUUUAUAGUUUAUUUUCUUUCAAAAUAUUUUCUUGAAAAGUCUCUCUUGUAGAAUAUGUUAUAAUGAUAAUGCUUUCAAACUAGUGAGUAGCAAAGUUUGACUAGUUGAACUGGUAACAUUUGUACAGUCAAAGGUGUUUCUGGAAAUGAAGUGUAUACUGUUUGACAGAUGAUGUGGAUGAUGCUCAUGAUUAUUUGGCAACAAGGAAAGUCAUGAAUGUUGUUGGAAUUGGUCAAGAAGAGCAGGAUUCAAUCUUCAGAAUUGUCGCAUCAAUUCUCCAUCUUGGUGAUGUUAGAUUCGCCAAGGGGGAAGAGAUUGAUUCAUCGGUUCUCGAGGAUGAGAAAUCAAAGUUCCAUCUUCAUACAACAGGAGAGCUUUUAAUGUAGAAUAGGGUAUUUAUACUUGCAAGACUCCCUUUUUUCGCAUUAGUGCAAGGGCUUGUCUGGUACCCCUGAAACGCCGUGAAACAACAUUCCUCACCCCAUUAACCGUCGUAUGGUAGCCGCUAAACGUUUCCAGCGACCCGGUACACAACAACCGGGUUUCCAACCUUCAUCUACUACUAUCAGUGGCUUCGUGCUAACACAAUCAGAGUCUUGAGCAGUUGGUGGCUCAAUUUCCGUCGAGGCGAGUUCGGCACUUCACAGGCGUAUCCCCCUCUUCGACUCACUUCAGUUCGGCGUUCAUCGGAUUACUGUUUUCCGGGUGAGUUUUGAUCCGGUUGUUCGAUUGUUGUUGAAUGGUGUCGAUUUGUGCAUAUUUUAGGUUUUGAUGUGGUGUUUUACUUUUUGAACUUCGAAUUGGGGUUCUUGCUUAAUUAAUUCUGUUCUGAUUGGAGAGUUGGUAUUAUUGUGCAUCUGAAGCUAUCAGAUAUUCCCCUUGGAUUUGGUUGCCUUGCAUAAUCGAUUUCGUUCCGCAAUAGAGUGAUUAUGAAUUGGUGAUGAUGAAUGUGGUGUGCAUCUGCAAUAAAGUGAAUUGUGUGAAAAAAAUCAAUCCGGAUAGUGGUCGACCUGUUUAGUGCAUUGUCUAUUUUCUUUGAUUUUACCCCUUUGAUGUUCAUUUGUGAAUGGAUUGAAUUCAGAUUGAGUUUUGUGGGCUCUCAUUUUUUUGGACUGAAUUCAGAUUGAGUUUUCAUCCGUAUCACUCGUUGUAUGAAGAUACUCCCUCUGUGUGCGGGCUCUAGUUUUUUUGGCUGUAGUUUGUAGUUUGUAGCUCUACAUAGAGACUCUGUUAACUCGUUCAGCCAUACAUUACGUGAUGGGAUUGAAGAUCCGGAGAUCAGCUUCCAACUCAAGUUGGAAAACGCUGUACAAAGAAACUUGGCUUCGGCUUUCAACCAAGCCAUGGUGUACUCAAAGAUGAGCGCUGGCAGCUCUGCAAGAGGCUGGAAGCUUGCAUCAGCUGAACAGAGGCUGGUGGAUGCAGAAGCCAUCGUUGAUCUUGCAUUGGACGAAACAGAAAGCAUCGAACAGCUUGAGCUUCUUAGGUUGAAAGCCCUCGUUCUGAUCGCUCAAGAGCAGCCGAAGCAGGCUAUAGAAACCUAUAGGAUCUUGCUAGCUCUGAUUCGGGGACAAGGCGAAAAUCUAGAGAAAAGCGCAAAUAAGGUGGAAACCAAUUACUAUGAAUAGGAGGAGCAAUACACAACAACACAACGGAGAGCAACCAAUUACCUUGUCACAGCUGUAUCCGAUGCACGGCGGGUCGUCGUUUGAUCGCUAGGGUAGAUUUUUUGUUAGAGGAGCCGCUGAACAAAUUUGAGUUAUGUAAACCCUAUUUAAGCCAACUAAUCGACACUCUUCACUCUUGGCGGGAAGAUAAUCAUUGUUUACCGCUUGAAUUUCCAUGAUUUUGGGAUACAACAUCCAUAAUUGGAGUUCA